rnacentral:lncRNA from 1 species
AUAUAUUUCAUCAUUUUUAAAAAUCACUUUUAUGGGAAUUUUUAGUCAGUAAUUAUGUUUAGUCCUCUGUAUCACUUAGUCUUGCCAAACUUUAUCUACCAACUUUGUCAUUUUUAUGAUUUAACUGCAUUUUUAUUAUUUUAUUUUCUAUCUGUAAUUAAAUUAUAUCAAAUUUGAACUAGAAAACAGAUAGCAUAUUGCCAUUUUUUUACCUGCAUUUAACAGUUUCUUUUUUACCUGUAAAAGGCUUCUAGUUGGCAUAUUCAAACUGCACUCUGAUAGAGGCAUGAAAUUUUAAUACAUCUGGUUUAUCCCAGGUAAUUUAACUUAAUUGUGAUGUAUAUUUUUACUUAUGAGAAAUAAAAUUAAGGAUGGUACUAAACAUCUCAGAUUUGAAAAAAUAGAAAGGGGCAUUAAACCAUUUAAAGUUAAUGAGACAUAGAUAAACAAUCCAAUUAUAUCUGUUAAAUCAUCCAUGUAAUGGUAUUUUUGCAAGUUGAUUUUUCCCAAAUUAAUUUUAACAAAUUUUCUCUUUGGAAAAUGUUAUUUUCAGGAGUUGGCUUUUAGCAAAUUCUUUUAAAGGAAUCAUUUUGCUUACAAUUUUUACCCACUCUAUAGAAGUAAAAACUGAGUUGCAAAGAGUUUUGGUAGCUUGUCCAAGGUAACCCAAGAAGUAAAGGGCAAAUCAGAUUUUCUUAUCUGUUUGAUUAACAUCUGUGUCCUUAAUCACUACUCUAUGUUGCUUCUCAUAUUAUUAAAAUUCUGAUUUUUAAAAAUUAAUUCAUCUCAGUUUUCACUUUAUUGUUUAGAAUUCGUGGAUUUAAAUGGCAUCAUGAAGUUAAAGAAUGUGCUGCUUCCUAGUGAGGAAUUAUUCAAAGACAACCUGAAUAUAUUCAUUAGAUGAGGAAACUGAAACACACAGAGGUUAAGAAGCUUCUUCAAGAUUGUUAAAAAGUCUUCAGGGUUUAUAUUUUAUACAACACUAUUCGACAAGAAAACCAACGCUCCCAACCACUAAUCUAUGGUGCAAAUUGGAGAGAAAAAAAAAAAGGUUAAUGGUAAGUUGAUGUAUAACUUAUACCCCAAAGGAGGUCCAAGUGAAUACAUCAUCUGAACGUCCUCCCCUAAGAGUCUUUGUAAACAUGCUAAUGGCAUAGAUAACAGAAAGUUUCUAUAUGUAAAAGGAUUUGGGUAAAACAUACCAAAUGUGUCCAAAUUCUUUAUUGUAAAUAAGUCUGGAAUAUGAAUAUAUGGGGCACAGCAGUUUGAAAAAAUAAGUUAGUCAUGUAAGCAAUUUUCUGUCUGUGCAGUGGACAGUAAAAACACCAAAAAGGCAGAAUAAUAUUUCUAUAUAUGUUACACAAAUUCUCAACUUGUCUGUUAUUCAAAAACCAAAAUACACUUGGUGCAGAAGAGAAAGGGUAUUUCCAAGGAGCCGUGGAUGACCGUUUUACACUCCUUAAGAAAAUAAAUGUUUUAUUUAUGGCAAUUUUCCUAUAUUGUUUGAGUCAUUAGCAGGUUGGGUAUGGGCAAGAUUUGUGAUUCCUGUGGUUUGAUUUGAUAUCUGAAGUAGCCUUGGAAGCACAUAUGAGACAACCUCAGUUGUGCCUGAAGCAGAUUUACAAAUAACUUCACAGAUUCAUGGCUAUUUAUUAGAUUGUGAAGCAUGAGUACAGUUUGCCAACUAAGGAAGCAGAUAUGGAGUGCAGGUGGUAGGGAAAACCAUGGUAAAGAAUCCUUGAUUAUUUGUGAUGAAAUAAUACAAUACAACUUCAAAUAAAAACAUGCUUAAUAGUCUUUUUCUUUCCAAAAAAAAAUAUGUUUCUAAGUGAUAAAGAUGGAUGGUUCUCUCAGGUUGAAAUAUUCAUCCAUGGAAAUAAUUUGUAAACAUGAUCAAGGUCUAAAUGUAAAACAAAAUAAAAUUAAGUGAUGACCUCAAUAGCACUUAUAAUUCAUCACCAUUACAAUUAUUAUGUGCUGUGGUUUGAAUGUGUCACCCAAAAUUUUAUGUGUUGGAAACUUUGCCAUUUUAAUAGUAUUAAGAUGUGGGGUCUUAGAGGUAAUUUGACCAUGAGGGCUAUGACCUAAUAAAUGGAUUAAUGUCAUUAUCACGGGAGUAAGUGAGUUCUCACAGGAGUAUGCUCCUGAUAAGCCUGGCCCUGUUCCUCUCUCUCUCUCUCUCUGUCUCUGUCUCUGUCUCUCUCUCUUCCUCUCUCAUUUCCUCUCUCUCUCUCUCUCUCUCUCGCGGGCAUGUGCCCAUGCUUCCUCACCAUGUGAUGUCUUCUGCCAUGGGAUUACACUGUCCAGCUGCUGGUGCUAUUUUUUUGGAGUGAGACAAAUUAACUUCUGUUCUUUGUAAACUACCCAGUGUGUGGUAUUUUCUUAUAGUAGCUGAACUUGGACUUGAACACCAGUUUAACUAAUAUUAAUUACAUAACACUUAAUCUUUAAAAUAUUUAUGUGCAUUUGUGAUACUUUUAGACUGUAUUUUACAAGUGAAAGAGAAAGUCAUUUAAUAGAAUCAAACAUCCAUUAAAGGCAAAAACUAUUCACACUAUCAACAGAAAAGAACGUUCUCAAACUCAAAGUCUAGCUACAAAACAAAACAAAACUUACAGCUAACAUCUUAAUAGUGGAACAUGAAAACAAUAUCCUUGAGCAUGGAAUGUUUUUCCAUUUGUUUGUGUCAUUUCUGAUUUCUUGGAGUAGUGUUUUGUAGUUCUCCUUGUGGAGGUCUUUCAUCUCCCUGGUUAGCUGUAUUCCUAGGUGUUAUUAUUUUGUAGCAAUUGUGAAUUGGAUUGGAUUCCUGAUUUGGCUCUCGGCUUGACUGUUGUUGGUGUAGAGGAGUGUAGUGAUUUUUGCAUAUUGAUUUUGGAUCCUGAGACUUUGCUGCAGUUGUUUAUCAGCUUAAAGAGUUUGUGGGCUGAGACUCUGGAAUUUUCUAGAUAUAGGAUCAUGUCAUCUACAAGCAGGGAUAGUUUGACUUCUCUUCCUAUUUGAAUGUCCUUUAUUUCUUUCUCUUGCCUGAUUGCCUGGCCAGGACUUCCAAUACUAUGUUGAAUAGGAGCAAUAAGAGAGGACAUCCUUGUCUUGUGCUGGUUUUCAAGGGGAAUGCUUCCAGCUUUUACCCACUCAGUAAGAUGUUGGCUGUGGGUUUGUCAUAGAUAGCUCCUAUUAUUUUGAGGUAUGUUUCUCCUAUACAUAGAUUGCCGAGAGUUUUUAACAUUCAGGUGUUUAAUUUUAUCAAAAGCAAUUUUUAUAUCUAUUGAGAUAAUCAUGUGGUUUUUGUCUUUAGUUCUAUUCAUGUGGUGAAUCACAUUUAUUGAUUUGUGUAUGUGGAACCAAACUUCCAUCCUAGGGAUAAAUCCUACUUCACUGUGGUGGAUGCUUUUUGGUGUGCUGCUGGAUUCAGUGUGCCAGAAUGUUGUUGAGAAUUUUUGCACCACUGUUCAUCAGGAUAUUGGCCUGAAGUUUUCUCUUUGUUUGUGUCUUUGCCAGGUUUGGGUAUCAGGAUGAUGUUGGCCUCAAAGAAUGAGUUAGGGAGGAAUUCCUCCUCAAUUUUUGGGAUAGUUCAGCAGGAAUGGUACCAGCUCUUUCUUGUACAUCUAGUAGAAUUCAGCUGUGAAUCUGUGUGGUCCUGGGCUUUUUCAGAGCCCAUUAUUGGUCUGUCUAAGAAUUCAAUUUCUUCCUGGUUCAGUCUUGGAAGGGUGUCCAGAAUUCUUUUCAUUUCUCCUAGCUUUUCUAGUUUAUGUGCAUAGAGGUGUUUGUAAUAUUCUCUGAUGAUUAUUUGUAUUUCUGAGGGUCAAUAGUAAUAUCCGACUUGUCAUUUCUGAUUGUGUUUAUUUGGUAUUUGGAUCUUCUCUAUUUUCUUCUUUAUUGGUCUAGAUAGUGGCAUAUCUUUU